GAGUUUGAUCCUGGCUCAGAUUGAACGCUGGCGGCAGGCCUAACACAUGCAAGUCGAGCGGAUGAAGGGAGCUUGCUCCUGGAUUCAGCGGUGGACGGGUGAGUAAUGCCUAGGAAUCUGCCUGGUAGUGGGGGAUAACGUCCGGAAACGGGCGCUAAUACCGCAUACGUCCUGAGGGAGAAAGUGGGGGAUCUUCGGACCUCACGCUAUCAGAUGAGCCUAGGUCGGAUUAGCUAGUUGGUGGGGUAAAGGCCUACCAAGGCGACGAUCCGUAACUGGUCUGAGAGGAUGAUCAGUCACACUGGAACUGAGACACGGUCCAGACUCCUACGGGAGGCAGCAGUGGGGAAUAUUGGACAAUGGGCGAAAGCCUGAUCCAGCCAUGCCGCGUGUGUGAAGAAGGUCUUCGGAUUGUAAAGCACUUUAAGUUGGGAGGAGGGCAGUAAGUUAAUACCUUGCUGUUUUGACGUUUACCAACAGAAUAAGCACCGGCUAACUUCGUGCCAGCCGCCGCAGU
rnacentral:rRNA from 1 species